GGUACAUGGGCGGCAAAUUCAUUUCCCCUCUUUCACGUGCUUCUCCAGAACCUUUCCUUUUAACAAUUCUCCGUAGGAACCCUAAUGGACGCCACCAUCAUCUCUCUCACCCCUCUUCUGAGAAACCCUAAUGGACGAAUCCAUCAUCUCUUUCACUAUUUCCCCAGGAAUAGAAGAGGGCGGUAGUGCUGUCGCUUAAGCAUUGCAUCUCUCAAACGAUUUGUGGUUGCAGGGGAAACAGGAACAAAGGCUCUGAUAAAGUUGCGGUUCAUAACAAUAGCUGGUAAAGAUGUGGUGUGUAUAAGAUCAUUUCGGUUGACUUAGAAGGCUUAUAAGAUAGAGUACAAGACAAUUGAGAGUGUGUUGAAGACUAUAAAUCCUCACACUAGAGAGGUUUGAUCGACACCAAAGUUUUAUCCAACUGAUGAAUUAAAGAAACCGUUCUUAUGAUGAACUCAUGAUACAAAUACCUUUAAAGAAAUUCGAUGCGGUAGCUGGUGAUGUAGCCAUCUGGUCAAGCCGGCUGGACUAUCUGGAUUUCACUCAACCGUACACCGAGUUAGGUUUGGAGAUGGUGACAAGUUACAUAGCAAUUUGUCAAGAAUGGUGGUGGUUGUGUGGCUCUUUGUGGCACUAAUCAUCACACAGAGCUACACGACUAGCUUCACGAUCAUGCUCACGGCUCAAAGGGUGGAACCCACAAUAACCAACAUUGAGGUGCUCAGGAACACGAAUGCAACAGUAGGGUACUGAUGAGUUUUUAUAAAAGCAAGUAUUUUUUUUAACCAGGCUCGAACGCGUGGUUUAAAUAGCUCGAAAGGGUGUGGAACUCGCUAAAUUGGAAUGAAAAACUAAGCCUCGUUACCUCGGUUCUUCGUGGCAUAACAUCUGCUGACCGGUCAAAGAUAAGCUUUAAGGUUGGACCAUUUGAACAUAUACCAUUCAAUGGUCCUUAUGAUUCAAUGGUCCUUAUGAUGAACUCAUGAUACAAAUACCUUUAAAGCAGAAAUUCGAUGCAGUAGCUGGUGAUGUAGCCAUCAGGUCAAGCCAGCUGGACUAUCUGGAUUUCACUCAACCGUACACCGAGUCAGGUGACAAGUUACAUAGCAAUUUGUCAAGAAUGGUGGUGGUUGUGUGGCUCUUUGUGGCACUAAUCAUCACACAGAGCUACACGGCUAGCUUCACGAGCAUGCUCACGGCUCAAAGGUUGGAACCCACAAUAACCAACAUUGAGGUGCUCAGGAACACGAAUGCAACAGUAGGGUACUGAUGAGUUUUUAUAAAAGUAAGUAUUUUUUAACAAGGCUCGAACGCGUGGUUUAAAUAGGUCAGUUCUAAGCUGGUACAUUUUUAUCAGUGGUCGUUAACACUUUUGAUUUAUUCCAUCAUUUUUGUGUCUGUGUGCCGCAUAACUCUAAAGUUUUUAUUACAUGGGUCGAACAGGUAAGCUUUAUAGAAUAGGUUGAUCGAUUCGCUUUAUUAAAUGGAUCAAGUGGGCCAGUUUUAUUAAACGGGUUGAACGAUCAGUUAUUCUUAAACGUCAAAUGAGUCAGUUCUAUUAAACGGGUCAAAAGGGAAAGUUUUCCUACACAGGCCAACUGGAUCAGUUUCAAUAACCUGAGAUUCUUUGGGUUUUUUUUCUGAUAGGUAAAAUAUGUAAAAAAUAGAUAAUAUAUUGCUUAAAAAAUGGGUAGAAUGAUUUUUCGGCUUUAAAAAAUGGAUUGAAUUCUUUUUCGCUUAAUAAGAAACGGGUCGAAUGCUUUAUCGCUAAAAAGAAGCGGGUCGAAUGCUUCAUCGCUCAAAAAGAAGCGGGUCGAAUGCCUUUUCACUUAAAAAGAAGCGGGUCGAAAUAUAUCAUAAAUAGGUUGUAUAUAUUUAUAUAAACUAUUAUUAUUAAUUUUAAUUUUUAAAGAAACGACCGUCAUUCUUUGUUUUAGCUAGAAAGGGCGUGGAACUCGCUAAAUUGGAAUGUAACUACACUCAUUCGUAUUUAGGCGAUGACUCUUAUCUAAGCUAAGUUGACAGAAGAGAAACAUUUUGCCAUUCAACAAUGUAAAAAGCGCCAUCAAUAACUGCUUGGCCAGUUGGGGUUAUUUGGAGACCAAGAGGUUGGGGAGUUAUCUGUUUGGGCCCAUGAUGGUUUUAUUAUUUGUGCCUUAGUUAUUGAAGCCGUGAAGAUGUCCACUGUGGAGAUUCAAGUUAAAUUUGGUUGAAGGCCCAUGUGUACUUGGGUUGCUUCAUGUUAUUGUUAUAUUUGAUGAUUUCGCUAUUUUAGUGUAUUGGUUGUAUUAGCGUGUGAGCAGAGAAGGAUACUAUUCCUACUAUAAUUUUCAUUGUAGUAGGUAUUGUAUGGUUUCAUUUUAAUAGGGUCCCUAAAGCAUGUUUUGUGUGUGCCAGUGUUAGGUAGCUUAGGGAUAUGGCCCUUUAAACAUGUAACAUUCCUUUUAAUUAUAAAAGUUUGUUGGAUGGGUCCCAUCCCAAAAACACGUAGCUGCUCAUGAUCUCCAUUGAUGAAACUACCAAUAAACUUUGGUUUUCUAAGUCAACGAUAUUGGGAGCGAUGACUACAUGUAGAGAACUUAUGCUGAUGACAAGAUGGGUUAUGGGGCCUCCAUCUUAUGUGAGAAGCAGGUUUUUCCUAUUCAUGGACCACAUACCUUUGUUCAACAAAAUUAACUACUUUUACAAGCGUUUUUAUGUUCGAAGCCAAGCCGACUUAACAAGGGUGAAAACACGAGAUGGGAUCAAACUACUAAUACUUGACAACGACGGAAAACCUACAGAUAAAACAACUAAUAUGGUUUAUAAAGAGAUUUUCAACGAAUUGUGAUCGUUGCAUAUUCAUGUAUUUCAAUUUAUCAUCGUAAUCUAAUAUAUUCGGUUGUCUUUUACCGUGUAUAAAAUCAUAAUAUUUAAUGUCAGCGGUAUUAAUGAAGAAA